CCCGCGUGCCACUCACUUCUGCUAUAUCACCCGCACCAGGAGGAAUGCGGACUAAUUAGGGGCCAAUGUCUCCUUAAAGAGACAAGCUCGGCCUUGUGUAACGUGCAGGGACCCCUGAUGCAGACAUUGUUCUGGCAGAGUACUGUAGAAUGCCUGUUGCGUUUGACCCGAAGAGUGACGUGAUGGUACAGAGAGACCCCUGGAUGUAGACUCACCAGUAUAUGAUGGAAGAUUCCAGAUGUUCAUAAUUGGGUGUCAGGAACCCAUUGAUGCACUGGCACUUCAUUCUGUAUGAUGUAAAGCUUCAGUCUUUGCAAACAAUACACUUCUGCAUUUAAAGUUUAUCUACAAAUCAUUUGCUGUCAUGGUCUUGAAAUUUCCCUACUUAGGUAGGAAAACGCCCAUUGAAGUCAACAGGAAUUUUCCUUGCAGAGGGAAUCCAUUCUACAGCCAAUUUUGUAUUAGCAUAACCAGACAGAUUUUGCAAAAACAUAUUUUGCCUAAUACCUUUGACAAAUAUUUCAAAUCAUUAAAGUGA